rnacentral:rRNA from 1 species
AUUGAACGCUGGCGGAAUGCUUUACACAUGCAAGUCGAACGGCAGCACGGGUGCUUGCACCUGGUGGCGAGUGGCGAACGGGUGAGUAAUACAUCGGAACGUACCCAGUUGUGGGGGAUAACUAACCGAAAGGUUGGCUAAUACCGCAUACGACCUGAGGGUGAAAGCGGGGGACCGUAAGGCCUCGCGCAAUUGGAGCGGCCGAUGUCUGAUUAGCUAGUUGGUGAAGUAAAGGCUCACCAAGGCGACGAUCAGUAGCAGGUCUGAGAGGAUGAGCUGCCCCACUGGAACUGAGACACGGUCCAGACUGCUACGGGAGGAAGCAGUGGGGAAUUUUGGACAAUGGGGGAAACCCUGAUCCGGCCAUUCCGCGUGAGUGAAGAAGGCCUUCGGGUUGUAAAGCUCUUUCGGCAGGGAAGAAACGCUCUGGACUAAUACUCCGGGGUAAUGACGGUACCUGAAGAAGAAGCACCGGCUAACUACGUGCCAGCCGCCGCCGUAACAC